rnacentral:rRNA from 1 species
UACGUAGGAGCAAGCGUUGUCCGGAAUUACUGGGCGUAAAGCGCGUGUAGGUGGUGGGACAAGUCUGCUGUGAAAGCGCCUGGCUUAACCGGGCGAGGUCGGCGGAAACUGUCCGACUCGAGGACGGUAGAGGGGGGUGGAAUUCCCGGUGUAGUGGUGAAAUGCGUAGAUAUCUGGAGGAACACCGGUGGCGAAGGCGGCAUCCUGGACCGAUAUUGACGCUGAGGCGCGAAAGCCAGGGGAGCAAAGCGGG